rnacentral:rRNA from 1 species
CAACGUAGGUAAUCUACCUUCGGAUGGGGAAUAACAAUCGGAAACGUUUGCUAAUACCGCAUAAUGCAGCGGCACCUAAUGGUGACAGUUGUUAAAGCGGGGGAUCGAAAGACCUCGCGUCUGAAGAGGAGCCUGCGGCGGAUUAGCUUGUUGGUAAGGUAACGGCUUACCAAGGCGACGAUCCGUAGCCGGCCUGAGAGGGCGGUCGGUCACACUGACACUGACAUACGGGUCAG